UGUCUUAUCUGGUCGGUAAGUUCAUAGAUUAGGAAAAAGACUACAGAACAAGAUGUGGAUAUUAAUACUCUAUAUCUUUUCUCUGGUCUCAGUUUGCAUUUUGAUUUUCUCCGCUCUAUUUACUAUGAUAUCAUGCACCGAUUUAGAGAGCAACUAUAUUGGUCCGACUGAAAUGGUUCAAAAGUUCAAUCAACUUGUCAUGUAUGAAUAUGGUCUUCAGAUGUUCUUGACGUCGCUAUUCCUCGUUACCGGUCGUCUGCUCGAAUUCUUCAUAAAUAUCCCAAUUGCCGUCUAUUCCGGCUACUUAAUUUUCCACAACCUUCAGUGGCUCGAUGAGACACGGAUCUUAAGAGAUGAAUGUCUGGUCAAACUCCGUCGAAGGGAGUUUAUAAAACUUUUGUUUUUUCUUUUUCAUUUUGUUGUAUACACGAUUAAGCUCAUCUUCCACAGCAUAUAAGCAAACGUGCAAAAUCAACCAAAAUAACGGUUACUUUUUUAUUGUACCCAUCAUGAGGUCAUUUCAAUAUUUGCAUCUAAUUGGCACUCAUGAGGCUGUGCUCGAGUUUGGGCAUUACUGCGUCACCUUCAAUCAAUAACUCGCCUUGAGUGAAUAGGAUAUUUGCAAUAAACGUGAGCGCAAAA